GCAAACUUGGUCAUUUAGAGGAAGUAAAAGUCGUAACAAGGUUUCCGUAGGUGAACCUGCGGAAGGAUCAUUAUUGAAUAUUCCCUGAUGAGUUGUAGCUGGCCUCUUGGGGCAUGUGCACGCUUGUCUUUGUUCUAUUCAUCCACCUGUGCACCAUUUGUAGUCUUUGAAGGUUUGGGAGUAGUUUCAUCUAUCAGUCGAAAGGACUGGACGAGAGGAUUGCAUAGCUUUCCUCAUUAUUGGGCUGCGACAUUCCCUCAGAGCUCUACGUUUUUUAUAUUAUACACCGUAUGUUGCAGAAUGUAUUUAACAAAGGCCUUGUGCCUAUAAAACACUAUACAACUUUCAGCAACGGAUCUCUUGGCUCUCGCAUCGAUGAAGAACGCAGC
rnacentral:misc_RNA from 1 species